CUAGUACUUCCUCCAUCCGGAAAUUCUUGUUGGAGAAAUUGAUGUUUCUAGAUGUAUUUUAGUUCUAGAUACAUUUAUUUUUAUGCAUUUUUUCGACAAGUAUUUUCGGACGGAGGAAGUAUGAG
rnacentral:pre_miRNA from 1 species